rnacentral:rRNA from 1 species
GGUGACAAGCGUUGUCCGGAUUUACUGGGCGUCAAGAGCGCGCAGGCGGUCGAUCAAGUCGAGUGUGAAAGCCCCCGGCUCAACUGGGGAGGGUCAUUCGAUACUGAUCGACUCGAAGGCAGGAGAGGGGAGUGGAAUUCCCGGUGUAGUGGUGAAAUGCGUAGAUAUCGGGAGGAACACCAGUGGCGAAGGCGACUACCUGGCCUGUUCUUGACGCUGAGGCGCGAAAGCUAGGGGAGCAAACGGG